GUGUCUGUAGCCUAGUUGGUUAAGGCAGUACUCUAGUAUGUGUCCUGAGAUUGUGGUUUGAGUCCAUCCAGACACA